rnacentral:rRNA from 1 species
GACGAACGCUGGCGGCGUGCUUAACACAUGCAAGUCGAACGGAAAGGCCCGGCUUUUGUGGCGUGCUCGAGUGGCGAACGGGUGAGUAACACGCGAGUAACCUGCCCUUGACUUUGGGAUAACUUCAGGAAACUGGGGCGAAUACCGCAUAGGAUCUCCUGCUGCAUGGUGGGGGAUGGAAAGUUUCGGCGGUUGGGGAUGGACUCGCGGCUUAUCAGCUUGUUGGUGGGGUAGUGGCUUACGAGGGCUUUGACGGGUACCCCGCAUGAGAGGGUUACCGGCCACAAUGGGACUGAGAGACGGACCAGACUGCUACGGGAGGCAGCAGUGGGGAAUAUUGCACAAUGGGCGGAAGUCUGAUGCAGAAACGCCGCGUGCGGGAUGACCGCUUUCUGGUUGUAAACCACUUUCGACUGUGACGAAGAGUGAGUGACGGUAAUGGGUAAAGAAGCACCGGCUAACUACGUG